rnacentral:rRNA from 1 species
AGUAGGGAAUUUUCGGCAAUGGAGGAAACUCUGACCGAGCAACGCCGCGUGAAUGACGAAGUACUUCGGUAUGUAAAGUUCUUUUAUCAGGGAAGAAUGGGCAGUGGAAAAACUGUUUUGACGGUACCUGAUGAAUAAGCCCCGGCUAACUAUGUGCCAGCAGCCGCGGUAAUACAUAGGGGGCAAGCGUUAUCCGGAAUUAUUGGGCGUAAAGGGUGCGUAGGCGGUUAUUUAAGUCUUUGGUGUAAGUGCAAGGCUCAACCUUGUGAUGCUAAGGAAACUGGAUGACUUGAGUGUGAUAGAGGUAAGUGGAAUUCCAUGUGUAGCGGUAAAAUGCGUAAAUAUAUGGAGGAACACCAGUGGCGAAGGCGGCUUACUGGGUCACAACUGACGCUGAGGCACGAAAGCGUGGGGAGCAAACAGGAUUAGAUACCCUGGUAGUCCACGCCGUAAACGAUGAGUACUAAGUGUUGGAGAAAUUCAGUGCUGUAGUUAACGCAAUAAGUACUCCGCCUGAGUAGUACGUGCGCAAGCAUG